rnacentral:rRNA from 1 species
GGGUUGUGAGGUUAAGCGACUAAGCGUACACGGUGGAUGCCCUGGCAGUCAGAGGCGAUGAAGGACGUGCUAAUCUGCGAAAAGCGUCGGUAAGGUGAUAUGAACCGUUAUAACCGGCGAUGUCCGAAUGGGGAAACCCAGUGCAAUUCGUUGCACUAUCGUUAACUGAAUACAUAGGUUAACGAGGCGAACCGGGGGAACUGAAACAUCUAAG